rnacentral:rRNA from 1 species
CACAUGCAAGUCGAGCGGUAAGGCCCUUCGGGGUACACGAGCGGCGAACGGGUGAGUAACACGUGGGUGAUCUGCCCUGCACUUCGGGAUAAGCCCGGGAAACUGGGUCUAAUACCGGAUACGACCUUCGGCUGCAUGGCUGGGGGUGGAAAGGUUUACUGGUGCAGGAUGGGCCCGCGGCCUAUCAGCUUGUUGGUGGGGUAAUGGCCUACCAAGGCGACGACGGGUAGCCGACCUGAGAGGGUGACCGGCCACACUGGGACUGAGACACGGCCCAGACUCCUACGGGAGGCAGCAGUGGGGAAUAUUGCACAAUGGGCGAAAGCCUGAUGCAGCGACGCCGCGUGAGGGAUGAAGGCCUUCGGGUUGUAAACCUCUUUCAGCAGGGACGAAGCGGAAGUGACGGUACCUGCAGAAGAAGCACCGGCUAACUACGUGCCAGCAGCCGCGGUAAUACGUAGGGUGCAAGCGUUGUCCGGAAUUACUGGGCGUAAAGAGUUCGUAGGCGGUUUGUCGCGUCGUUUGUGAAAACUCACAGCUCAACUGUGAGCUUGCAGGCGAUACGGGCAGACUUGAGUACUGCAGGGGAGACUGGAAUUCCUGGUGUAGCGGUGAAAUGCGCAGAUAUCAGGAGGAACACCGGUGGCGAAGGCGGGUCUCUGGGCAGUAACUGACGCUGAGGAACGAAAGCGUGGGUAGCGAACAGGAUUAGAUACCCUGGUAGUCCACGCCGUAAACGGUGGGCGCUAGGUGUGGGUUCCUUCCACGGAAUCUGUGCCGUAGCUAACGCAUUAAGCGCCCCGCCUGGGGAGUACGGCCGCAAGGCUAAAACUCAAAGGAAU